rnacentral:rRNA from 1 species
AUGCAUUUCGAAGACCAUGAGUUCGAGGUGGACGAGGAGGGUGAGGGCAUUGUCGAUGCACCGAAAGGAAGAGCGGGCAAUUACACCAAUGCCGAUGACAUCUUACUAUGCAAUACUUGGUUGCAAGUGUCGAGGGAUCCAUCCGUUGGAGGUGAUCAAAGUAGAGAUGCUUAUUGGGGGCGGAUGAAAGAACACUUUGAUGUUCACAACGUGAGUGGAAUUGACCGCUUCGAGAGAUCACUUCGGUCCCGAUGGUCGACAAUCAACUCGGAUUGUCAAAGGUGGGCGGCCUGUCAAAAUGCGGUUGACAAGUUGAACCCAAGUGGCACAAAUGAGGAUGAUAGAAACUUGUUCAAAGAAGAGGAGAGGAAAACCAAGAAGGGAAAGAUCAAGAAAGGAAGGGUCUUUGCCUUGCCCCAUUGCUAUAACGUGUUGAAGGAUGAUGAGAAAUGGAAGAAGCGUGAAGAUUUGGAUGAUUUGCAUUUGAGCAACAAACGCAAGCGAACAAUUGAGUUGGAUGAUGAUGAUGAGGAGGAGGAUGCAUCAAGUGAUGACGGCAAGAGAAGCCCCACACCCAACUCGGUUUCAUACUCGAAGCCAAAGCGACCGGAUGGGUGCAAGAAAGACAAAACCGAAAGAAGAAGAGGAAAGGAGACGAUGAGCUCAAAAAUGCUAUGGAAGCUAUUGUGA